rnacentral:rRNA from 1 species
GACGAACGCUGGCGGCGUGCUUAACACAUGCAAGUCGAACGCUGAAGCUCAGCCUUUGUUGGGUGGAUGAGUGGCGAACGGGUGAGUAACACGUGAGUAACCUGCCUCCUUCUUUGGGAUAACGCCCGGAAACGGGUGCUAAUACUGGAUAUUCACUGGUCUUCGCAUGGGGGUUGGUGGAAAGGGUUUUUCUGGUGGGGGAUGGGCUCGCGGCCUAUCAGCUUGUUGGUGGGGUGAUGGCCUACCAAGGCUUUGACGGGUAGCCGGCGCGAGAGGGUGAACGGUCACUUUGAGACUGGGUAACGGCCCAGACGCCUACGCGAGGCAGCAGUGGGGAAUAUUGCACAAUGGGCGCAAGCCUAAUGCAGCGAGGCCGAGGAAGGGAUGGGGGCCUUAGGGUUGUGAACCUCUUUCGGUCAUGGUCAAGCCGCAACAAUGGUUGUUGUGAGGGUAGUAGGUAAAGAAGCGCCGGCUAACUACGUG